rnacentral:rRNA from 1 species
UAGCUACCUGAAAUCAAAUCUCUUAAAACUUUGUUUUNCUUGAUUUGAUAUGUAAGGUAAAAAUAAUGAUGAAACCUUACUAUGAGUGUCGNCCAAAACUAGUGCCAGAAGACUCGGUAAGGCCAGAGACGCAAACGUUAGUCGUCAUUAUCAGGCGUAAAGGGUUCGUAGGCGGCUUUGAAAUCUCUUUCUUUAAAAAUAGCACUCUUAUUUAAAGAAGAGUUAAGGAAAGAAACAAUUAAAGCUAGAAUCAUAAAGAGGUCAUAUUGAAUAAUUCUAAGACUAUAAGGGCUGAUAUCCUAAGAUACUUGGAGGAAUAUUAAAGGGCGAAGGCUUUUUUUCCAUAAAUGAUUGACGCUGAGGAACGAAGGGGAGGAGAGGAAUUAGGAUUAGAUACCCAACUACCCCUCCCUGUCAACGAUGAAUGGUAGUUAACCUGUUGANAAAAACAGGAAGCAAAGCUAACGCGAUAACCAUUCCGCCAUGCGAGUACGACUGCAAAGUUGAAAGNNAAAAAAUUAGUCGG